GAUGAACGCUGGCGGCGUGCUUAACACAUGCAAGUCGAACGGGAAUUCUUUUAUUGCAACUUCUGUCGAUUUAAUUUAAUUCUAGUGGCGGACGGGUGAGUAACGCGUGGGUAACCUGCCUUAUACAGGGGGAUAACAGUCAGAAAUGGCUGCUAAUACCGCAUAAGCGCACAGAGCUGCAUGGCUCAGUGUGAAAAACUCCGGUGGUAUAAGAUGGACCCGCGUUGGAUUAGCUGGUUGGUGGGGUAACGGCCCACCAAGGCGACGAUCCAUAGCCGGCCUGAGAGGGUGAACGGCCACAUUGGGACUGAGACACGGCCCAGACUCCUACGGGAGGCAGCAGUGGGGAAUAUUGCACAAUGGGGGAAACCCUGAUGCAGCGACGCCGCGUGAAGGAAGAAGUAUCUCGGUAUGUAAACUUCUAUCAGCAGGGAAGAUAGUGACGGUACCUGACUAAGAAGCCCCGGCUAACUACGUG
rnacentral:rRNA from 1 species